ensembl:lncRNA
GUGGGAAAGAGGAUUAUAUUAAACUGAACAGAAACUCAAAAACUAAUUUCUUAGAAAAUAGCUAAUUACACUACAAGCUAUGUUUAAAGGGGUAAUGAACUGCAUUUGUUUUAUUUUUUUAACUAUUUUAUCUUUCCUGAGGUGCACCUAUAAUGUUCAUGUAGGAUUUUUACAUCAUUUACUGUCAUAAUUUAGAAAUAAAAUGACAUUUUACCCUGUUUUAGUCAUUUAAUUUCAACUGUUUAAAUGUUCAGGUCUCUUUAAAGACAUGUAAAUAUUCACUGCUUAUGAUUGGGUGACAUCUUUGAAUAUGAAAUAAGUAUUAAUGUGGAACUGUUUUGAAGACUUUUGCAAUAUUUUUUACAAUUACAGCUACCGUGAAAAAUCGUUAAAAUGCUGAUUACAGCCUUAUAUUAAGAUUUACUAUAUAAUAUACAUAUAUAAGAUGUACAAAUAUGAUGCACAUUACUUACUUGCAAUGCACAAUAUGGCUAACAAAAGUUAUGUUCUCAUUAGAUCAUGCAAUGUGAGCUAACAAACUUCUGUGUUUGUGUCCAUUGAAAUUUUUGAACUCUUUGAACAUUCCUAGGCUUUUUUAAAAUAAUUAUAAUAAGUGAAGAUGUCCAUGAACAAUUGUGAGGAAUAUUGGCUAUUUUUUAGAAUGUUUGUAGACUUUAUGAUGUCGUGGAAACACACCUUACUAUAACAGUGGUGGAAAACUCUAAUUCUGUGUAGUGUGUGAGGAGUUGAUCAAGAGCUAAUAGACUGUGUGUAGAAAGAGUGGAAAGUCUAAUACGCUCAAAGUGAUUGUUUUAUCCAGCAAUGGUUAAAAUUGCAAGGGAUGUUGAAUGUUCUCAGUUUCAAGAGAAACUGGAGAACUGGUUUCCAAAUUUUCAUGCCCUUUUAGUAAAACCAUCAGCUAAAGGGAAUGAUGAGUUCAGCAAGAAGUGUCAGAUCUGGUUUCCAAACCUGCAAGCCAACACUAAGCCAAGUACAGAAGAGAAGGCUGAGUUUGGAAAACAACUCCAGACAUGGUUUCAUGACCUUCAAGUAGCUGACUCUAAACCACCAGAGGAAGAGAAGUUUCAGUUCGUGACAAAGCUCCAGGUCUGGUUUCCUGAAUUCCAAAGUAUGAACCUAAUCCAGGGCCACAAUAAAUAGUUUUCUCUUAAAAGGGUGGUUGCCUGUGUUUUUUUUUUUUUUCUUUUUCAA